UACGAGGGGGGCAAAUGUUGUUCGGAAUCACUGGGCGUAAAGGGAGCGUAGGCGGGUUCUUAAGUAAGGUGUUUAAUCCCGGGGCCCAUCCCCGGACCGGCACUUUAAACUGGGAAUCUUGAAUAGUGGAGAGGUCAGUGGAAUUGGGGGUGUAGCGGUGGAAUGCGUAGAGAUCCCCAAGAACACCAGUUGCGAAGGCGGCUGACUGGACACAUAUUGACGCUGAGGCUCGAAAGCAUGGGGAGCAAACAGG
rnacentral:rRNA from 1 species